GCCACGUGGCCGUCUCUGGGCUGCUGCUGCUGCCGCUGCCGCUGCUGCUGCUGCGGGGGUCGGGCGGCGGCCAGGGGAUUUGGGCAGGCACCGCGGAUCCCCGGGAAGGGGACGAGUUGACAGAUGUGUGUGAGGAGGUCUCUGGUCGGCCUCACCUUUUGUACCUGCUACCUGGCUUCUUACCUCACGAACAAGUAUGUGCUGUCUGUCUUGAAAUUUACCUACCCUACAUUAUUCCAAGGGUGGCAGACGCUCAUUGGUGGACUUUUGCUUCAUGUGUCCUGGAAACUGGGCUGGGUAGAGAUCAACAGCAGUUCAAGAUCUCAUGUUCUUGCGUGGCUUCCUGCUUCAGUGCUGUUUGUGGGUAUAAUCUAUGCUGGGUCCAGAGCAUUGUCCAGACUGGCCAUUCCUGUGUUUCUCACUUUGCAUAAUGUAGCUGAAGUUAUCAUCUGUGGGUACCAGAAGUGUUUUCAGAAAGAGAAAACAUCUCCUGCAAAGAUCUGUAGUGCCCUCUUCCUCCUGGCCGCAGCAGGAUGCCUUCCCUUAAAUGACUCCCAGUUUGAUCCAGAUGGAUAUUUUUGGGCUAUAAUUCACUUACUCUGUGUAGGGUCUUAUAAAAUUCUACAGAAGUCCCAGAAACCCAGUGCAUUAAGUGACAUUGACCAGCAAUACUUAAACUAUAUAUUCAGUGUGGUGCUCCUGGCAUUUGCAUCUCAUCCCACAGGUGAUCUCUUCAGCGUCCUGGACUUCCCAUUCCUGUACUUCUACAGAUUCCAUGGUAGCUGCUGUGCCAGUGGAUUUUUGGGAUUCUUUCUCAUGUUCAGUACAGUGAAGCUAAAAAACCUUCUGGCCCCAGGGCAGUGUGCAGCCUGGAUUUUCUUUGCUAAGAUAAUCACAGCUGGCUUAUCAAUAUUGCUGUUUGAUGCGAUCCUGACCAGUGCAACCACGGGAUGGAAUGAUGGGGAUUACAAGAUUUGCAAACAGUUCAGUCAAGCUCUGACUUAAAUAGUUGUAAUGCUAUUAAGAUUCCUGGACCCAUGUCAGCCUUUCCUGCUGUUUAGAAAACGACAUCAAAGCUCACCUCCCUGGCUCUCCUAACAGUAAACCGAACCAAGCCUCCUGCUCGGUGCGCUUGGAGAGGCCUUGCUGGUUUUCUCAGAGCGGAAGAGCUCCUGAACAAGACGGUCAAGAGAAAGACUCACAGGCUGCUGCAGGAGAACAGCUUGUACACCUGUGUACGAGCCCCUGGUCUCAUAGCUCCCUGUUGGAUGUGUCAGAAAGAGGAACGCAAGGACAGCGAGGCCGGUGGGCAGUGCCAUCACCCUCACCCAAGUGAAUGUGGUGGUGGCUGAUGAGGCCGAGGCCCUGGUGCUUCAAGGAGCACCCUUUCUGGGGGCCUGCAGGUUGCUACAGAGGAGCGGUCUGUUACAUCUUCCCAUUUGGAGAACCUCUCUCAACCGUGCUGUAGCUGGUUCUGCAGAAACAGGAAGUACAGGAUUUCAUGGGCUGGCUCUGCUUGCCUCGACUGAGCUUCACACCUCUGGAUGCCACAUGCUCUCUCCCAAACACUGCUUUCAGUGCGAGGUAGUGGGCCUAAGGGGUUUGGUUGUCUUUUUUUUUUUUUUCAUUUUUAAAAUUUAAAAUUUUUAUUUAUUAUUAUUUUUUAGAGACAAGGCCUCACUCUAUCGCCUAGGCUGAAGCUCAGUGGUGCGAUCACAGCUCGCUACAGCCUUGACCUCCUAGGAUCAAGCCAUCCUCCUGCCUCAGCAUCCAGAGUAGCUGAUGUGCACCACCAGACCCGUCUCAUUUUUUCUAUUUUUAUUAUUUUAGAGAUGGGGAUCUCACUGUGUUGCCCAGGCUGGUCUCAAACUCCUGGGCUCAAGCAAUCCUCCCACCUUGGCCUCAAAGUAUUGAGAUUACAGGCAUGAGCCACUGCACCCGGCCUUUCUCAUUUUUAUUUUUAAAUUGACAGACGUAACAGUGCGCAUUUAUCACGCACAACACAAUGCUUUGGGAAUGGUUAAAUCUAGCUCACAAAUGCAUUACCUCACACGGUUGUCAUUUUUGUGGUGAGGCUUGGUUGUAUGUUUUGUUUCAUUCAUGUUUUUACAUCCUUGGAGUCUCCUCUGGGUCCGUCCUUUCUUUGCUGUCAUGCUGGCUUGCCUAAGGCCCACCCCCACCUGUGUACGAGCAUUUUAAACUCUAGAGUGAGUGACAGCCUUUUUAUGGUUGGUGUUACUAUUUAUUUCCUGCCUCUAAACUUCUCGUGGUCCUUAUAAACUUGUCAGGAUGUGUGUUGCGUUGAAUUCUGCAUAUCCUUUUUUUGCCCACCAUCCGGUUUAGCUGGUACUAACUUAUCACCAGAGGAAACAGGGUUUAUGAGCACUGACAGAUGUCUUCCCUGGGCAAAAAAAAAAAAAAAUAGUAUAUGUAUACACACACACAUACACAUUUAUAUUUAUAUUUCUUAAAGCUUUUAAUCCCUUUCAUUCCCUGAUAUCUCAGAGAUUUCAAAUCAUUGAACACUGAAGUAUAUUUUUCAGGCCAGAUGAAAAAUUGUAUUAAAACCCUAUUCCUGGUCAGGCGCAGUGGCUCACGCCUAUAAUCCCAGCACUUUGGGAGGCCGAAGUAAGCAGAUCACCUGAGGUCGGGAGUUCAAGACCAACCUGGCCAACAUGGUGAAACCCUGUCUCUACUAAAAAUACAAAAAAAUUAGCCUGAUGUGGUGUUGUGUGCCUGUAGUCCCAGCUACUUAGGAGGCUGAGGUAGGAGAAUUGCUUGAACCUGGGAGGCGGAGGUUGCAGUGAGCCAAAAUUAUGCCACUGCACUCCAGCCUGGGCAACAGAGCGAGACAGUCUCAAAAACAACAACAACAACAACAACAACAAAAACCCUAUUCCUUGCCUUUGUAGGAGUCAAAAUAAAUGAACUUCUUUUUUCUUUUUUUUAUUAUUAUACUUUAAGUUCUGGGGUACACGUGCAGAAUGUGCAGGUUUGUUACAUAGGUAUACACGUGCCAUGGUGGUUUGCUGCACCCAUCAACCUGUCACCUAUAUUAGGUAUUUCCCCUAAUGUUAUCCCUCCCCUAGCCCCCCACCCCCUGACAGGCCCUGGUGUGUGAUGUUCCCCUCCCUAUGUCCAUGUGUUCUCAUUGCUCCAAAAUAAAUGAAUUUACACAAAA